CCACACACCUGACAGGGAAAAUACCGUGACAGUGAAGGUGGUUUUCCCAGGGUGCAGCUCAUCCAUUGCAUCCAGCUGUGCUGACUCCUGCAACUUCUCCCAAGGUGGGAAACUUAACCUCAUAUUUGUACCAGUGGGGAACUCUGCCAAGUUCCUCU